GAUGAACGCUAGCUACAGGCUUAACACAUGCAAGUCGAGGGGAAACGACAUUGGAAGCUUGCUUCCGAUGGGCGUCGACCGGCGCACGGGUGAGUAACGCGUAUCCAACCUGCCCACCACUUGGAGAUAACCUUGCGAAAGUAAGACUAAUACCCAAUGAUAUCCCACGAAGGCAUCCGAAUGGGAUUAAAGAUUUAUCGGUGAUGGAUGGGGAUGCGUCUGAUUAGCUUGUUGGCGGGGUAACGGCCCACCAAGGCAACGAUCAGUAGGGGUUCUGAGAGGAAGGUCCCCCACAUUGGAACUGAGACACGGUCCAAACUCCUACGGGAGGCAGCAGUGAGGAAUAUUGGGCAAUGGGCGCAAGCCUGACCCAGCAACGCCGCGUGAAGGAAGAAGGCUUUCGGGUUGUAAACUUCUUUUAAGAGGGAAGAGCAGAAGACUGUACCUCUAGAAUAAGCCACGGCUAACUACGUG
rnacentral:rRNA from 1 species